AAAAAAAAAUUCAAAUUAGAAAGUAUUAUUGGGGUAACAGCCAUUACUGUUGCUUAAAGGUAAAUAACUGCUGUUGCCAUUACGUAACAGUGGUAACGGCUGUUACCCUUGCAAAUCAAGAUAUGCCUUUAAAUAACAGCCUAACGGGUAAUGGUCCCUCUAAAACUUGUAAAUAACGGCUAUUACGUUAUGUAAUGGCUGUUAUUUAAAAUCAUGUUACAUAUAUGGAUUCUUUAACUUAAAUUUUAAUUAAUAGUUCAUUGAAGUUUGAAUUGACUUCAUGAUUGAAAGAUAUGAAAAAGUAGCAGCAUCCUCCAAAUAUCUAUAUGAGAGGUAGAAAUCGACUAACACUUUUAAGUGUAAAUCUACAAGUUCAUGUUGAAGAAUUUUCCUCUCUCACUACAAAGCUGCAUAAUUAGCCAUUAUACAUGACAAAGAGCUUCAUAAUCUUUCUCAUAUUAUACUUGCAGCUCCUUUAUGGGAUCAUAUUUGCAAUUAAUAAUAUGAUAGUUUCUUCUAUUUUCUUCAUGGAAAGAAAACAGAGUUGAAAAUAAAUAGAUGAUAAUCACAAAUUGUGCAAAGUAAAUAACCAAAAAAAGAGGUUCCUACUAGAAAUACUUUAAUUCACAUAAGAUAGGCCUUCCAUGAUCCAAGCAUUCAUCUGAAUAUGUUUCAACUUUCAAGUUAAGACAUCAACAUGUGAUUAAAAUUAAUUAAUGAUUUCAAGAAAAUUAUUUUCAGAUGUUUCAUGAUAUAAAAUCAAGCAUAUAUGAAGCAUAUACGUAGAUUAAACUAUGGUCCUAGAAAAUUCUCCACAUUUAUAACUACCAUUGUUUAACCUUUUUAUAGGGGAAUUAUUAUUAUUAUUUUUUUUAACCUGUAAAUAAAAAAUCAACCUAUGCUUUUUUCCUUGAACUCAAAAGAAUAAUCAUCAUUGAUCACAAACCAAUGAUUGGUGACUGGGUGCCUGCGAUGGGAUUAGCAUGGAAAUGGUUAAUGAUUUUUAAAUAACAUGACUGCAAAUAUUGAGGGAUGCAAUUAUGGUCAUGAAAGGGAUAUACAUGUUAACUGAUAAGGGAUGUUAAAAUAAAUAGGUUUAAAAGAAAAAUGGGUUAAGUCAGGAUUCAAAACCCCUGCUCUUGACAUCCUUAUUAUUAAAAUAAAUAGAGCUCCAUGCUUUCCACUUAGAAAAACACUCUAAUUCUUAUUGAAAAAAAUGAUAGAAAACAUUCGCGGCUUGAUUUCCAGACGUCCUCUAAAUUUAGAAUUAUAGGGAAAAUUGGUUUCUAAUUUCCAUUGAAAAAACUAUCUAAUUUGAAUGUGAAAUUCUAUUUCUGUACUCCAUAAAACUUGUCUGGAAAACAUCUCUAAUUCUCUACAAAUGAACAUUAUUUUCAGUUCCAUGGUAUGCAAUAUGUGAAUAGACUUUUUCUUUGUGUUGGUAAUCAGUGGGUUUUUCUAGUCAUUUAGGAGAAUCUUUGUUGAUUCACUUUAGGAUUGUGAUAGGGAGAAAGUGAAAUUUCUUUGAUGUGGUGCAGUUUUUUGUAUUUUGUGUGCUGUUAGCGUGUGUGUGCGUGUGCGUGUGCGCGCGCGUAUACCAGUCAAUACAGUCCACCCAACUGUGGUUGAUGUAUGUUGCUCUCUUUACAAACAACAAAUGCUGUUAGUUUCCUGUCUUCUAUCUAUUCUCUCCCCUCCCCCCUUUCUCUUUGUUUCCUCUCUCCAUCCUGCCACUCUCAAUGCAUUACACCCAAUCCACCCAACUUUGGUCCUUUUAUCUCUCUCUUCUCAACACAACAAAUGAGUUUGGUUCAUACAGUUUUGAAAAAGAGUUUAAUGUUAGAUUAUGUCAAGACAUUGGU
rnacentral:misc_RNA from 1 species